GCAAGUCGAGCGCACCCUUCGGGGCGAGUGGCGGACGGGUUAGUAACGCGUGGGAACGUACCCUUCUCUACGGAAUAGCCUCGGGAAACUGAGAGUAAUACCGUAUACGCCCGUCGGGGGAAAGAUUUAUCGGAGAAGGAUCGGCCCGCGUUAGAUUAGAUAGUUGGUGGGGUAAUGGCCUACCAAGGCUACGAUCUAUAGCUGGUUUGAGAGGAUGAUC
rnacentral:rRNA from 1 species